rnacentral:lncRNA from 1 species
AUGAGCAGCAUGCCAAAGUGUACGAGCAGCUGGACCUGACUGCCAGAGACCUGGAGCUGACCAACCAGAGGCUGGUGUUGGAGAGUAAGGCUGCCCAGCAGAAGAUCCAUGGGCUAACAGAAACCAUCGAGCGCCUGCAGUCCCAGGUCGAGGAGCUCCAGGCCCAGGUGGAGCAACUUCGAGGCCUGGAGCAAGUCCGGGUUCGCAGGGAAAAGCGGGAACGCAGGAGAACCAUCCAUACCUUCCCCUGCCUAAAGGAGCUGUGCACGAGUCCCCGUCAGAUGAGAAAAACCUACCCAGCCUGAGUACAAGGCGCUCUUCAAAGAGAUCUUUGCCAGGAUCCAGAAGACCAAGGCCGACAUCAACGCCACCAAAGUCAAGACGCACAGCAGCAAGUGACCCCUCUCUAGGCCUGUAGCUUCCCUCUGCCUCCUCUCCAGAGGGGGUCUGUCAGGCCUGGAUGGCAGCCUCUUGGCAAGUGAGAGAGCCCUUUACGCAGCAAUAUACCAUAGCUGGUGGCUGGAGCAUGGGCAAGGAAAGCCUUUCUGAUCUAAGGGACACAGCAUAUCUCCUGCUGGUGGCCCAGCUCACUUGUUCUGCCUCCCUUGGCCACUUUGCUUCAGCUUGAAGGCACAGCUCAGUUUAAAAGCCAAACACACUCCCCACCCGCCACUGCCACCCUGCCACUGUCCCCUCAGCUUCUGGACCCCAGGCCCCUGACCCUCAGCUCGCCCCCAGUCUUCUG